GCCAGGUGAACAGGGUAGAGUGAAGACAGAAGAAGCCUGCUUUAUAAAGUGCCAAGUUCCAAAGAAUUCCAGAAAGGCUGCUAUUGACAAGGGAGGGGACUCUCUUUUCUUCGGAUUUUAAACUUCUAAUGCAAUGGCAGAAUGCAAGAAAUGAGGACCUAAGCUGAGAUGCUUAAAUUUAGAACACUGGGAUCGAACAAAUGCCACAAAGGAUGACCUUUCAGAAAACCUGAUGAAACCAGUUUUUACUGGAAGGGAAGCAAACCUUAAAUGCUAACGAAGCUGGUGAUUUAUGAUGCAAUUUUUUAUUGGAGAACUAACAAUAAACAGGAAGUCAUCGAAGGAUGCUGCAACAGUAUGGUCUCAUGCAACCCAAAUAAUUCUGUCACAGCACAAGGACCACCAUGCAUGGAUUGGAACAGAAGUUUUCCUCUAAUUUCCUUCAAGAACAAACCUGCCUCUGGCUGCACUUAGAUGACAACUACCAGUUGCAGGGCCUGUAAAAUCUGCUGGAGCAUUUCCCCAAACACCACCCUCUCCAUGGGAAGUGCUCUCCAAUAAAUGACCAUGGUCCCAGCAAACAGGUCAUUUCUGCCCAAUGCAGGACUCCUGUGAGGGCAGUCUUUGCACUGGGGCUCCCCAUUAGGCUCCCUGAGGAUCACUACAGCUCCAGCACAAUGUGGGCCUACUCUUACUGAGUACUUCCUGCCCUAUCUUCAUUCCUAGCCCUCAAAACAGACUGUCACUGAUGAUAUAAAAAAAACUGUUCACAGAAGUAAUGGCAGAAAACUUCCUGAAGAGGGGAAAAGAACUUGAUAUAGCGAUAAGUGAGGAAUAUAGGACUCCAACUGGCCAUGAUCAAAAAAAUCUACACAUAGGCAUAUAAUAGUUAGGACUCCAGAAACCCAACAGAAGAACAAAAUUCUAUGAGCAGUGAGACAGAAAAAACAAACCACAUACAAUGGAAAGCCCAUCAGAAUCACAGCAGACUUCUCAACACAAACCCACAAGGCAAGAAGAGCAUGGAGCAAUGUAUUUCAAGCCUUAAAGGAAAACACCUUCCAACCCAGAUUGAUGCACCCCGCAAAACUAUUUUUCAAAAUUGAUGGAGAAAUAGGAUACUUUCAUGACAAAGAGCACCUUAGGAACUUCAUGAAUACCAAACCAGC
rnacentral:lncRNA from 1 species